AGGGUCUGAAGGGCUCCAAAUGAAUUCCUGUCUUUUUUUCUCCCCACACCCCACGCCUUCCUGCUUCUCGUCGUCUCCCUCCUCCAGUCUAAAGAAUCCUCGUCUGUCUUGAGUUGUGACAUUUCAGCGGAUGACAAAUAUAUUGUAACAGGCUCUGGUGACAAGAAGGCCACAGUUUAUGAGGUCAUCUACUAAACAAGGACUCUAACAGGGCUGUCCAACUCUGGGAGAAACCAUCUCGGCUCUGACAGGGAGACCCCAGUCGAGGCCCCUGAGGAUGGCGGAGGAGGGGCCGUGAGCAGCCGCGCUCCGGGCUGUGCUCCAGCGGGCUGAGAGGGCACGUGCCCGCCAUGGCCCGGACUCCUGGGCAUGGAUUGAUGUGUCUCACAGACUCGGAUGGAUUCUCUUCUCCUCCUCCCCCUUAACAAUGCUGGCAGAUGCUACAAAUAGAUUUAUUUGGAGGCUUGUGGCUCCAGUUCCCCACAGACACCCUCAUGAAUCUCUGUCUCUUCCUCCCCAUUCUUUUGACCUGUCCCCUCCCUGCUUGGGUGGGGGACAAUGGAGUGGACCACAUUGUUGUGCUGGGGAGGGGGAUCUCGUUCCUUAUUGUGCAGUGCACAAGAUUUGUGAAAACUGUAAAUAACAGACUCCUGUGGUGGACUGGUCAGUGGGGGAGGAAGCCCCUGCCCAGUGGGAGCUCGCCGUGUAUUUCGCCUGCUGUAUUUGUGAUCCACUCGUGGUGGUGGCUUUUUGUUUUUGUUUUUGUUUGUUUUUUAAACAGAAGUUCCCAUCAGGGAAAGGGACAGGGAGGGAGUAACAGGAAGAAGGGGUUGGAACAGGGAGGAGAGUCCUGGGAUCGGGGAAGGACCUGCAGCGGCCAAGCAGACUGGCACCUAACACCAGGUGAACGCGCCUCAUGCGGGUUUGGCACCCUAGGCAAGCCUUGAGGGAGUGCCAGAUGGACAGACGGACUGAAGGACAGUGCUGAGACCGGGCCGACCUGGGUUGAUGUCCAUAGGGGACAGCUGGGUUUCCCUCUGCUCUGUCUGCCUCUUGCCCUGUCUUGAGUCUCCCUCUCUCUCAGGCCUCUGGCUCCAUCUUUCUCUCCUUCUCCUCUUUCUCUUUGGUGCACACUGGGUCAUUGUGAUGAGAAAUGGAGGUUCAGAGGAACUCCCUCUCCAGCCUUUCUUAAUCUUCCAGAUGGAUGGAUGGACACAGCCUGGAAAUGACACCACGGUCGAGGGAAGCAUAGCAACUCAGCUCAGGGAGCUACCAGAGAAAAACAGCAAUGGAUGUGGGUGCUUUUUUUUUUUUUUUUUAAUUUGAAUAAAAAGAAUUAGAAGUGAUGUCCUUUUAUAAAAUGGCUUCUCCCCCUUCCUGCCUUCAGCCCCUUCCUCUCUCCCUAGAGGGGACAAGCAGGUUAACCUACAGGGUUAUAAAGUCUGAGCAGGUGACUUGCCCUCUUCCCCUCCUGGGCAGGGCAGAGAGGUGCGCUGCCGUGAUUCCUAACAGCUCUCAGUCUCUUGUGGCCCACACAAGUUCCAGGUAGAAUAUGGUCUCCUGCGGUUGGUUACCAAGCUUUGGUACCAAAUGUUCUGAGGUAUUAGGAUGUUUUUGGUCUUUUUUUUUUUUUUUCCUUUAAAAAAAAAAAAGCUAAAGGCAGUGUGAGUCCUGGGGGUGGGCUCUCCAUGGAUGUAGCAUAUGGAAGAUAAUUUUUAUACCGCAUUUUUAUGGAUUAUUUUAUAAUGUGUGAGUUGGUCUGGUGAGGAGGAGGAGGAGGAGGGGCUUCUGUGAAAACCGCCCAUCUUCAGGUGCUCCUGCAGCUGAGCAGCUUCCGGACGUGACGUGGAGGUCGUGGCUUGGAGCCGGCACAGCACCCUGUAUCUGUCUGAGAUGGGGACGCAGGGCGUCUGGAGUCUCUGUCCCUCUCCCUGAGUCUCAGAUGUUCAUCUGCCACCUCUUGUUAAGGCUCUAGCCCGGAGGGAGGGUGAGGGUAGAAGAAAGUUAUUCCUGAAGAAAAAAAAAAAAGAAAAUGAAAAGUCAUUGUAAUGAGCUGUUUUUAUAUUUUUAAAAGUUACUAUUUAAAGGUUGGUUUGAUUGUUGCGUUU
rnacentral:lncRNA from 1 species